GGGUUGUGAGGUUAAGCGACUAAGCGUACACGGUGGAUGCCCUGGCAGUCAGAGGCGAUGAAGGGCGUGCUAAUCUGCGAUAAGCGCCGGUAAGGUGAUAUGAACCGUUAUAACCGGCGAUACCCGAAUGGGGAAACCCAGUGUGAUUCGUCACACUAUCAUUAACUGAAUCCAUAGGUUAAUGAGGCGAACCGGGGGAACUGAAACAUCUAAGUACCCCGAGGAAAAGAAAUCAACCGAGAUUCCCCCAGUAGCGGCGAGCGAACGGGGAGGAGCCCAGAGCCUGAAUCAGCAUGUGUGUUAGUGGAAGCGUCUGGAAAGGCGCGCGAUACAGGGUGACAGCCCCGUACACAAAAGCGCAUGUGCUGUGAGCUCGAUGAGUAGGGCGGGACACGUGGUAUCCUGUCUGAAUAUGGGGGGACCAUCCUCCAAGGCUAAAUACUCCUGACUGACCGAUAGUGAACCAGUACCGUGAGGGAAAGGCGAAAAGAACCCCGGCGAGGGGAGUGAAAAAGAACCUGAAACCGUGUACGUACAAGCAGUGGGAGCNNAUAGGGGAGCCGGAGGGAAACCGAGUCUUAAUUGGGCGUUAAGUUGCAGGGUAUAGACCCGAAACCCGGUGAUCUAGCCAUGGGCAGGUUGAAGGUUGGGUAACACUAACUGGAGGACCGAACCGACUAAUGUUGAAAAAUUAGCGGAUGACCUGUGGCUGGGGGUGAAAGGCCAAUCAAACCGGGAGAUAGCUGGUUCUCCCCGAAAGCUAUUUAGGUAGCGCCUCGUGAAUUCAUCUCCGGGGGUAGAGCACUGUUUCGGCUAGGGGGCCAUCCCGGCUUACCAACCCGAUGCAAACUGCGAAUACCGGAGAAUGUUAUCACGGGAGACACACGGCGGGUGCUAACGUCCGUCGUGAAGAGGGAAACAACCCAGACCGCCAGCUAAGGUCCCAAAGUCAUGGUUAAGUGGGAAACGAUGUGGGAAGGCCCAGACAGCCAGGAUGUUGGCUUAGAAGCAGCCAUCAUUUAAAGAAAGCGUAAUAGCUCACUGGUCGAGUCGGCCUGCGCGGAAGAUGUAACGGGGCUAAACCAUGCACCGAAGCUGCGGCAGCGANNUGCUGGAGGUAUCAGAAGUGCGAAUGCUGACAUAAGUAACGAUAAAGCGGGUGAAAAGCCCGCUCGCCGGAAGACCAAGGGUUCCUGUCCAACGUUAAUCGGGGCAGGGUGAGUCGACCCCUAAGGCGAGGCCGAAAGGCGUAGUCGAUGGGAAACGGGUUAAUAUUCCCGUACUUGGUGUUACUGCGAAGGGGGGACGGAGAAGGCUAUGUUGGCCGGGCGACGGUUGUCCCGGUUUAAGCGUGUAGGUGUGUGUUCCAGGUAAAUCCGGUUCACUUUAACACUGAGGCGUGACGACGAGGCACUACGGUGCUGAAGCAACAAAUGCCCUGCUUCCAGGAAAAGCCUCUAAGCAUCAGGUAACAUCAAAUCGUACCCCAAACCGACACAGGUGGUCAGGUAGAGAAUACCAAGGCGCUUGAGAGAACUCGGGUGAAGGAACUAGGCAAAAUGGUGCCGUAACUUCGGGAGAAGGCACGCUGACACGUAGGUGAAGUGAUUUACUCAUGGAGCUGAAGUCAGUCGAAGAUACCAGCUGGCUGCAACUGUUUAUUAAAAACACAGCACUGUGCAAACACGAAAGUGGACGUAUACGGUGUGACGCCUGCCCGGUGCCGGAAGGUUAAUUGAUGGGGUCAGCGCAAGCGAAGCUCCUGAUCGAAGCCCCGGUAAACGGCGGCCGUAACUAUAACGGUCCUAAGGUAGCGAAAUUCCUUGUCGGGUAAGUUCCGACCUGCACGAAUGGCGUAAUGAUGGCCAGGCUGUCUCCACCCGAGACUCAGUGAAAUUGAACUCGCUGUGAAGAUGCAGUGUACCCGCGGCAAGACGGAAAGACCCCGUGAACCUUUACUAUAGCUUGACACUGAACAUUGAGCCUUGAUGUGUAGGAUAGGUGGGAGGCUUUGAAGUGUGGACGCCAGUCUGCAUGGAGCCGACCUUGAAAUACCACCCUUUAAUGUUUGAUGUUCUAACGUGGACCCGUAAUCCGGGUUGCGGACAGUGUCUGGUGGGUAGUUUGACUGGGGCGGUCUCCUCCUAAAGAGUAACGGAGGAGCACGAAGGUUGGCUAAUCCUGGUCGGACAUCAGGAGGUUAGUGCAAUGGCAUAAGCCAGCUUGACUGCGAGCGUGACGGCGCGAGCAGGUGCGAAAGCAGGUCAUAGUGAUCCGGUGGUUCUGAAUGGAAGGGCCAUCGCUCAACGGAUAAAAGGUACUCCGGGGAUAACAGGCUGAUACCGCCCAAGAGUUCAUAUCGACGGCGGUGUUUGGCACCUCGAUGUCGGCUCAUCACAUCCUGGGGCUGAAGUAGGUCCCAAGGGUAUGGCUGUUCGCCAUUUAAAGUGGUACGCGAGCUGGGUUUAGAACGUCGUGAGACAGUUCGGUCCCUAUCUGCCGUGGGCGCUGGAGAACUGAGGGGGGCUGCUCCUAGUACGAGAGGACCGGAGUGGACGCAUCACUGGUGUUCGGGUUGUCAUGCCAAUGGCACUGCCCGGUAGCUAAAUGCGGAAGAGAUAAGUGCUGAAAGCAUCUAAGCACGAAACUUGCCCCGAGAUGAGUUCUCCCUGAGACUUAGAGUCUCCUGAAGGAACGUUGAAGACGACGACGUUGAUAGGCCGGGUGUGUAAGCGCAGCGAUGCGUUGAGCUAACCGGUACUAAUGAACCGUGAGGCUUAA
rnacentral:rRNA from 1 species